rnacentral:lncRNA from 1 species
AUGGCAAGACCAGGAUUUGAAGUAAGAACUGCUUGGCUCCAACACUGGCAUCCUUUCUGCUCUAUCAUGCCCAGAGGGCCACUUGCAUUUUUGCAGCUGGAUGCAAAGAAGUCUGGGCUGAAGAGCACAGAAGAAUUUCAGCCAGAUAUUAUUUGGAAGACACAUGGAAUCAAAAGAAAAAAGAAAAACUGAAGAAGAAAUCAAAUAUUGCACCUAAGAACCUCUACAUAGGAAAAAAAGUAAACCGGGACACCUGGGUGGCUCAGCAGUUGAGCAUCUGCCUUCAGCCCAGGGUGUGAUCCUGGAGUCCCAGGACUGAGUCCCACAUCGGGCUCCCUGCAUGGAGCCUGCUUCUCUCUUUGCCUAUGUCUCUGCCUCUCUAUGUGUUUCUCUCAUGAAUAAAUAAAUAAAAUAUUUUUUAAAAGUUAACCUGUUGAUUUUGUGCAUUAUUACAGCUUAAGUUGUUCAAUAUUUAGAGAAAUUAAAGGACACCAGAGGCACCGAGGGCUCAGCGACCCCUCCAUAUCUCCUCAAUUUCUCUGAAAAUCCAAGUCUCUUUGGUGAAAUGUUUCAUAAAACUAAUUUUUCACAAUAUUCAAAGAAGUUAAUAGGAAAGAAGAAGUCAUGAUUUUGUAAAAGAAGAAUUAAGACAAUCCUCUGGUGAACAUUUAUCACAAAAUAUUGUAUGUGCAAAACUCUCCUGAAAGAAAUAAAUAUUUCAAAAAACUAAAAAUGUCUCCAUAUUCUAUGAAAAAAAUGUAACCUGACCUCCUCCAGCACUGAUAUGUUGAGCUUGUUUUGCCUAUUUUUCGCCAGAGGAUAGUUUGUGCUCCUAGGAUACUGAAUAAUCGUACAGUUUGGCUUAAUAGCAAUGUUCAUUAAGCACAAUGGGAAAAGUUAAAGGUCCAGCAUUAGUACAGACUAUAUUUGUUUUUUUUUAAGUUUGGGACAUAAAUUAAGCCAUUUUAAUGUUUAAUGUGCAUGUGUUCUAUGCAUCUGUACAAAAUGGGCUAUGCAAAUUAAAAGAUAAGUAGAAAAGUGUUGGAAGGCAAGCACAUCUUUCCAUGAAUUUCCUCUAGGAGGCACCAUUUAAAAAACAAGAAUUGUAUGCACUUUAAUUGGUCAUCACUUCUUUCCAGUUUGAUAACUCAAUUCAGGAAAUAUGUGAAUGUUUUCUUGCCAUGUGAUACCUUAUAAUUUCUAAAAGCAUAAAAGGGCAUAUUAUUCUAUGGAUGACAAAUAGCUAGUAUUUAUUAAAUCCAAGAAAAAAAAACUUGAUAUUCCACAUUGCUCACCCAUAAGGAAGACACACGAAAGAGAAAAUUCUUUAAAUCAUUAAAUCUACAAAAAAAAAGAAAAUUUGAGGUAGUUUCCUAUUACAUAUUACAUUUUUUGGUGAAACUAUUUAGUUGAGCUUGUUUUGUCUUUUAAAGCAAUUUACUCCAAAAGAUUGAGGAAAUUUCCUGAAAAGUUACCUCUAAAUAAAAAUAUUCUGAUGAAUAGAUUGAGGUAUGAACACUUCCUUACAUGGCUUUGCCAGAAAGCAUAAUAUAAGACUUCUGCCCUUCAAGAAGCUUGCUAAAGCAAGCUAGCUGAGGAGACAGAACUUAUUCAUAUGAAACAAUGAGACCUAAUAUAAAAGUUAUGGUUAAAUCAUAUAGUAGAGAAAAUAAGUGCUACCCUAGUUCUGAGGAACUAGAAAUCGCUGUGGGCAAGAAUGAUCACGAAAGGAAAACUUCAUAGGGGAAGGCAGAGCUUGAUACAAAAGCAAUGUUGAAGGAGAUUAAGACAAAACAUUCCAAACCAGAACAUCAACACUGGAUGCUGUGGUACUUUCCAAGUAGAGCUAUGCCUAUUAAAUUAGCAAAUGAAAGUAACAGAUUAUGUUCACUGUCUAUGGCAGGUAUGUAUCUUGCUUAAAUGUGCAUUUAUGGAAAACUCUCUAUAAUAUUUGUAGGAGAGAGGGGAAAACCAACAGACUACUCAUUCAUUCAGUCAUCCAUCCAACAAUAUAUUUUAUUGGGUGCCUACUAUACGACACAUAAUGAUUUAACUAGUAAAUGAAACAUGUUCCUUUUCCUAAAGGAGCUUUCUUUAGUGGGGUGAAGAAAGAUAAAAAAUAACAGACACAAUAAAUAAGUAACCUGCAUAUGCUUAUGGAAGAUAUGCUAAACUCUAGAGCAGAGUAGGGGAAAUGAGAAGUGCCAGAGGUGGUAGGGAGGGAGGAGCGUUACAGUCUUACAACUAGAAAAUGAGCCACAUUAAAAAGAUGACAUAUGGGAAGAGAUCUAAGGAAGUCAAGUAAUUAUAGUUUUAUACAUGGGAAAAUUGUUUAAGCAGAGCUAACAGUAAGUGCAAAGACUUAAGGUGGAGUGCAUCUAAGAUGUUUUAGGAACAGGGCACUCUCAUGACUAAAGUAGCAUGAAUGAUGGGCAAAGUAGGUGGUGACAUAAGAAAAACAAUGGAGGCCAGUUCAUAUAAUGUCAUGGACUUUGACUUUUACUCUGAGUGAACUGGGGACCCACUGCAGGAUUUCACGAAGACUAACAUCAUUUUACUAAUGUUUGGCUUUUGUAUUGAGAACAGAACAGAAGGAAGGAAGAACAAAAUCAAAUAGACCAGCUAUCACCACAGUAAUCCUAGAGUGAUUUAGAGUGGGAUGGUAGCAGUGGAGCGAGUAAAAAGUGAUCACCAUCUGGAUCUACUGGGGAAGUCAAGUCAACAUAAUAUGAGGACUGUUUGAUGUGGAGCAUGACAGAAUACGAUGAGUAAAGAAUGACUCUAAAGUAUUUGUCCUAAAUAACUAAGAGUGUAUGACUGGAACUAGUGUUGAAGGGAAUAUCAGCUUCACAGCUUUUGGAUAUUUUAAAUUUCAAGUGUCCGCUGGUCCUCCAAGUAAGAAAGCUGGGCAAGGAAUUAGAUGUACAAAUAUAGAAUUUGGGAGAGGAGUUAAGAACACCUUUGAAUGGAAGUAUCAAUUAGCCAGGUGUCAUCAGUAGUAUCUAAAAUCAUAGUACUGAAUGAAAUGGCCAAGGAUAUAAGUCGAGGAGAGGACCAAGGGAUGUGUCUGGCUUCUUCCAUCACUAAGAGAUCUAGAAGAGGAGACAAAACCAGCAAAGGAGAAUGAGAAAGAGUAACUAGUGCUUUUGGAAGGAAAUCAAACUAUGGUUUCUGAAAGGCAAAUGAAAACAGUCUAUCAAAGAAAUGGGUGAUCAACUGUUGUCAACAGGUCAAAGUAAAAUAAGAACUAAGAAUUAAGAUUGGAUUUAGCAACAUGGAGGUCACUGUAGUCCUUGACUACAAUAGUUUAGUUGGGGGGCACCUGAGUGGCUCAGUGAGUUAAGCAUCUGUGUACAGCUCAGGUCAUGAUCCCAGGACCCUGGGAUUGAGCCCCCACAUCGGGCUCCUUGCCCUGUAGGGAGCCUGCUUCUCACGCCGCUUCAUUGCUCCCCCUGCUUGUGUUCUCUCUUGAACUAAUAAACAAAUUUUUUAAAAAAGAAAAGUUUAGUUGGCAUAGUGGUUUGACAAACCAGACUGCAUUAAGUUUAUGAGAAACAGGAGAACAAGUACAGGCAAUUCAUUUUUUACUGUACAGAAGAGAAAGGGAAUAAGAGAACAGCUAAGGGAUGGUAUGCAAAAAUAUUAUUAAGAUUAUUAAUAGAUU